GGAUGCAAUCAUACCAGCACUAAAGCACCGUAUCCCAUCAGAACUCCCAAGUUAAGCGUGCUUGGGCGAGAGUAGUACUAGGAUGGGUGACCUCCUGGGAAGUCCUCGUGUUGCAUCCC
rfam:Oryza sativa Japonica Group DNA, chromosome 11, cultivar: Nipponbare, complete sequence.